rnacentral:tRNA from 12 species
GCCGCUAUAGCUCAGGGGUAGAGCGUUCCCUUGGUAAGGGAGAGGUCGAGUGUUCAAUUCACUCUAGCGGCACCA